UCCCUCAGGGAUAAGCUCACCCACUGGUUUUCAAAUUGGGUUCCAUACGGCUGUAGGGUCCGAUGUUCAACAAAGGGGAUAGUGAGUGUGCCAAAACAACUCUACUUUUUUGUGUUUCAGAUAUUGAGGUUCCCAGAAAGGCUGCAUUUCAAACCAAGUCUGAAACCCACCACCAACCCAACCCCCUUCUUCUUACAGAUAAGGGAACCGAAGCACACAGAACCCUGAACCCUUUUUCUUGGAACUCCCAUGGAUCCUGUGAUCACUGAAAACUCAUUUUACUUUAAGGAAAACAUGAUGAAUGAUUAAGCUCCAUAACAAAGACCCUGUGCACGGAAUACGUAAGGAUUUCUAGUUGUGACAAGUCUGCAAUGGAAAACUUUUGGCAAAUGGAAAACCAAGGUAAGAAACGUGCCCCGGAGCAUGUCUCCCCUGGGCACACCCCCCUCUUUUCCAGUGCCCGGUGCAACAUGGAGCAACCUAGUCUAUGCAAGCACAGGAUGGAUUUUACAGCUGAGCUGAGGCACACGAGGCUUUGUGAGCCUCUGUGCUUGUGUUUUCUUCCAGAGGAAGUUUGCUUAGGCUGGGCCAGAUUUCUCUAGAAAGUCUGCUAGUGGAGAUGCUCAAGUAGCCCAUUCUUUCUGGGCCAGCGGGAAGCUGGGGGAGGGGCCAUCUGUGCUCUGCAGAGCCCAGCAGGAACACUCCUCCUGUCUACGUGGACAUUCCAUGCACUUCCUGACAUGCAAGUAGCAGCAUCUGAAGCCUGAAUCAUAAUGCUCCAGGGAGCCCAGGAGGAGCCCCCCACCACCACAGCUGAAGGUGCAAAGCACCUGGCAUUUGGUAGAUGCUGAACUACUUCCCAAAUGAAGGACCAGGAGAGAUGGAGAGAGACCCACGAAACCACAAACACUGAGUCACAAGGGGGAGAGCCAGACAUGCGGUUGCUUUACCCUCACAAUCCCACAUUGCCGAUCUGAUUAAAUU